rnacentral:tRNA from 1 species
GAGGGCACAGCUCAGUGGAAGAGUGAGUGCUUAGCAUGCACGAGGCCCUGGGUUCAAUCCCCAGUACCUCCC